rnacentral:rRNA from 1 species
GGGUUGUGAGGUUAAGCGACUAAGCGUACACGGUGGAUGCCCUGGCAGUCAGAGGCGAUGAAGGGCGUGCUAAUCUGCGAUAAGCGCCGGUAAGGUGAUAUGAACCGUUAUAACCGGCGAUACCCGAAUGGGGAAACCCAGUGUGACUCGUCACACUAUCAUUAACUGAAUCCAUAGGUUAAUGAGGCGAACCGGGGGAACUGAAACAUCUAAGUACCCCGAGGAAAAGAAAUCAACCGAGAUUCCCCCAGUAGCGGCGAGCGAACGGGGAGGAGCCCAGAGCCUGAAUCAGCAUGUGUGUUAGUGGAAGCGUCUGGAAAGACGCGCGAUACAGGGUGACAGCCCCGUACACAAAAGCGCAUGUGCUGUGAGCUCGAUGAGUAGGGCGGGACACGUGGUAUCCUGUCUGAAUAUGGGGGGACCAUCCUCCAAGGCUAAAUACUCCUGACUGACCGAUAGUGAACCAGUACCGUGAGGGAAAGGCGAAAAGAACCCCGGCGAGGGGAGUGAAAAAGAACCUGAAACCGUGUACGUACAAGCAGUGGGAGCACCCUUUGGGGUGUGACUGCGUACCUUUUGUAUAAUGGGUCAGCGACUUAUAUUCUGUAGCAAGGUUAACCGUAUAGGGGAGCCGUAGGGAAACCGAGUCUUAACCGGGCGUUAAGUUGCAGGGUAUAGACCCGAAACCCGGUGAUCUAGCCAUGGGCAGGUUGAAGGUUGGGUAACACUAACUGGAGGACCGAACCGACUAAUGUUGAAAAAUUAGCGGAUGACCUGUGGCUGGGGGUGAAAGGCCAAUCAAACCGGGAGAUAGCUGGUUCUCCCCGAAAGCUAUUUAGGUAGCGCCUCGUGAAUUCAUCUCCGGGGGUAGAGCACUGUUUCGGCUAGGGGGCCAUCCCGGCUUACCAACCCGAUGCAAACUGCGAAUACCGGAGAAUGUUAUCACGGGAGACACACGGCGGGUGCUAACGUCCGUCGUGAAGAGGGAAACAACCCAGACCGCCAGCUAAGGUCCCAAAGUCAUGGUUAAGUGGGAAACGAUGUGGGAAGGCCCAGACAGCCAGGAUGUUGGCUUAGAAGCAGCCAUCAUUUAAAGAAAGCGUAAUAGCUCACUGGUCGAGUCGGCCUGCGCGGAAGAUGUAACGGGGCUAAACCAUGCACCGAAGCUGCGGCAGCGA